rnacentral:rRNA from 1 species
GAUGAACGCUGGCGGCGUGCCUAAUACAUGCAAGUCGAGCGAACGGACGAGAAGCUUGCUUCUCUGAUGUUAGCGGCGGACGGGUGAGUAACACGUGGAUAACCUACCUAUAAGACUGGGAUAACUUCGGGAAACCGUAGCUAAUACCGGAUAAUAUUUUAAACCGCAUGGUUCAAAAGUGAAAACCGGUCUUCCUUUCACUUUUAAAUGGAUCCGCGCUGCAUUAGCUAGUUGGUAAGGUAACGGCUUACCAAGGCAACGAUGCAUAGCCGACCUGAGAGGGUGAUCGGCCACACUGGAACUGAGACACGGUCCAGACUCCUACGGGAGGCAGCAGUAGGGAAUCUUCCGCAAUGGGCGAAAGCCUGACGGAGCAACGCCGCGUGAGUGAUGAAGGUCUUCGGAUCGUAAAACUCUGUUAUUAGGGAAGAACAUAUGUGUAAGUAACUGUGCACAUCUUGACGGUACCUAAUCAGAAAGCCACGGCUAACUACGUG